rnacentral:tRNA from 1 species
GUCUUAACUAGGCCACCUAAAUAUGAUUUCGGCUCAUACAAGAACAGAUGAAAAACUGUUUUAAGACU